rnacentral:rRNA from 1 species
CUAGUAAUCGCAGGUCAGCAUACUGCGGUGAAUACGUUCCCGGGUCUUGUACACACCGCCCGUCACACCAUGGGAGCCGGUAAUACCCGAAGUCAGUAGUCCAACCACGUGAGGACGCUGCCGAAGGUAGGAUUGGCGACUGGGGUGAAGUCGUAACAAGGUAGC